AGUGAACGCUGGCGGUAGGCCUAACACAUGCAAGUCGAACGGCAGCACAGUAAGAGCUUGCUCUUACGGGUGGCGAGUGGCGGACGGGUGAGGAAUACAUCGGAAUCUACUUUUUCGUGGGGGAUAACGUAGGGAAACUUACGCUAAUACCGCAUACGACCUACGGGUGAAAGCAGGGGAUCUUCGGACCUUGCGCGAUUGAAUGAGCCGAUGUCGGAUUAGCUAGUUGGCGGGGUAAAGGCCCACCAAGGCGACGAUCCGUAGCUGGUCUGAGAGGAUGAUCAGCCACACUGGAACUGAGACACGGUCCAGACUCCUACGGGAGGCAGCAGUGGGGAAUAUUGGACAAUGGGCGCAAGCCUGACCCAGCCAUCCCGCGUGGGUGAAGAAGGCCUUCGGGUUGUAAAGCCCUUUUGUUGGGAAAGAAAAGCAGCAGGUUAAUACCCCGCUGUUCUGACGGUACCCAAAGAAUAAGCACGGGCUAACUUCGUG
rnacentral:rRNA from 1 species